CCCUUAGAUGUUCUGGGCCGCACGCGCGCUACACUGAUGCAUUCAACGAGCCUAUCCUUGACCGACAGGUCCGGGUAAUCUUUGAAUCUGCAUCGUGACGGGGAUAGAUUAUUGCAAUUAUUAAUCUUCAACGAGGAAUGCCUAGUAGGCGCAAGUCAUCAGCUUGCGUCGAUUACGUCCCUGCCCUUUGUACACACCGCCCGUCGCUCCUACCGAUUGAAUGUUCCGGUGAACACUUUGGAAUAGUUCUUAUGUGAGGGGAAACUCUUUGCUUGGAUACUGUGAAGUUGUGUAAACCUUAACAUUUAGAGGAAGGAGAAGUCGUAACA
rnacentral:rRNA from 1 species